rnacentral:rRNA from 1 species
ACGGGUGAGUAACACGUGGGUAAUCUACCUUUUAGUGAGGAAUAACUUUGGGAAACCGAAGCUAAUACCGCAUAAGCCUGAGAAGGGAAAGCAGCAAUGCGCUGAAAGAGGAGCCCGCGGCCGAUUAGCUAGUUGGUGAGGUAAAAGCCCACCAAGGCACAGAUCGGUAGCCGGCCUGAGAGGGCACACGGCCACACUGGCACUGAAACACGGGCCAGACUCCUACGGGAGGCAGCAGUGGGGAAUCUUGCACAAUGGGGGAAACCCUGAUGCAGCGACGCCGCGUGAGCGAUGAAGCCCUUCGGGGUGUAAAGCUCUUUCGGCAGGGAAGAUUAUGACGGUACCUGCAGAAGCAGCUGCGGCUAACUACGUGCCAGCAGCCGCGG